rnacentral:rRNA from 1 species
GACGAACGCUGGCGGCGCGCCUAAUACAUGCAAGUCGAGCGAGAACUAGGACUUCGGUCCUGGGGACAGCGGCGAACGGGUGCGUAACACGUGAGCAACCUGCCCCGAAGACCGGGACAAGCCGGGGAAACCUGGUCUAAUACCGGAUGCCCUCACCUGCAUCGCAUGGUGUGGUGAGGAAAUGGAUUCCGCUUCGGGAUGGGCUCGCGGUCUAUCAGCUUGUUGGNGGGGUAACGGCCCACCAAGGCGACGACGGAUAGCUGGUCUGAGAGGACGAUCAGCCACACUGGGACUGAGACACGGCCCAGACUCCUACGGGAGGCAGCAGUAGGGAAUCUUGCGCAAUGGGGGAAACCCUGACGCAGCGACGCCGCGUGCGGGAUGAAUGCCUUCGGGUUGUAAACCGCUUUCAGCAGGGACGAAAUUGACGGUACCUGCAGAAGAAGGCCCGG